rnacentral:rRNA from 1 species
CUUGCACACACUGCCCGUCGCUGCAUCCGAGCUGGGGUUGGACGAGGGGCUGUCUUGUUGGCGGUUUCGAGUCCGACCCCGGUGAGGAGGCAGAAGUCGUAACAAGGUGGCCGCACGGGAACGUGUGGCCGGAUCACCUCCA